rnacentral:rRNA from 1 species
GUUUCCCAGUCACGAUAAACAUUGGCAAGGCUAUGACGGAGGCCAUGGCGGAAAAUCCCGAAGAUUGUCCCGCCUAACCCUCCGGGUUCGGUAAGAUUGGGUAUAGUCAGCGUAAGUAUCUGUGUCGCAGAGACUUACAACAGAAAGGUGAAAAGAACCCUCGAUAAGGGAGUGAAAUAGAACCUGAAACCAGCAGCUUACAAACGGUCGGAGGCCUAUGACCCUUUUAGGGUAAUGGCUGACGGCGUGCCUUUUGCAUGAUGAGCCAGCGAGUUAUGUUAUACGGCUAGGUUAAGGAACCGUCGUUCUGGAGCCGAAGCGAAAGCGAGUGUGAAUAGCGCGAAUAGUCGUAUGACAUAGACACGAAACCAAGUGAUCUACCUAUGACCAGGAUGAAGCAGGGGUAACACCUUGUGGAGGUCCGAACUAGUAAACGUUGAAAAGUUUUUGGAUGAGUUGUGGGUAGGGGUGAAAGGCCAAUCAAACUUGGUAAUAUCUUGUUCUCUCCGAAAUAACUUUAGGGUUAGCCUUAGUGUAAAUGCUUUUAGGGGUAGAGCACUGAAUCUCCGAGGGGGCCUACCGGCCUACUGACGGGAAUCAAACUCCGAAUACUAAAAGCCUGACUAGGAGAUAGACUGCGGGGGAUAAGCUUUGUAGUCAAAAGGGGAACAGCCCAGAUCGCCGAUUAAGGUCCCAAAUUCUAUGCUAAGUGAGUAAGGAAGUGAAGUCUCAAAGACAGUUGGGAUGUUGGCUUAGAGGCAGCCAUCAUUUAAAGAGUGCGUAACAGCUCACCAAUCGAGAGACUUUGCGCCGAUAAUAUCCGGGGCUGAAGCAUAGAACCGAAAUCGCGGGUUUGAACGAAAUUUCAAGCGGUAGGAGAGCGUAGUUUUUGCGUUGAAGAUAUACUGUGAAGAGUGUUGGAGCGAAAACUAGUGAGAAUGCAUGGCAUAAGUAAACGAUAAAGGGAGUGAGAAUCUCCCUCGCCGAAAACUCAAGGUUUCCAGGGUAAAGCUCGUCUUCCCUGGGUUAGCCGGAGCCUAAGCUGAGGCUGAAAAGCGUAAGUGAUGGGAAGCAGGUUAAAUAUUCCUGCGCCACUUGGAGGCUUAAGUAUGGGGUGACGAAGGAAAUGAAGCACGCGGACGAUUGGUAGUGUCCGUUUCAUGAUGGGAUGGGCUAGUAGGCAAAUCCGCUAGCAGAAAGUCUGGUCAUGGACAAGGGGAAUCGAAAGAGGAACCGAAGGUGUGGAAUGGACUUCCAAGAAAUAACCUCUAACUGCCAAGAAGUGUCCGUACCAAAACCGACACAGGUGAGUGUGAAGAAUAUUCUCAGGCGCGCGAGAUAACUCUUGUUAAGGAACUCGGCAAAUUAUCCCCGUAACUUCGGGAGAUGGGGAGCCAUCUUGUGUGAAGAUGAACAAUCUGAGCGUGAGGUGGCCGCAGAGAAAUGGCCCAGGCGACUGUUUAACAAAAACACAGCACUAUGCGAACUCGUUUAAGAGGAGGUAUAUGGUGUGAUGCCUGCCCAAUGCCAAAAGGUCAAAGGGAAAUGUAAGCGGCCUUGUGCUGCGAAGCAUAGAACUUAAGCCCUGGUGAAUGGCGGCCGUAACUAUAACGGUCCUAAGGUAGCGAAAUUCCUUGUCGGGUAAGUUCCGACCUGCACGAAUGGCUUAACGAUCUGGGCGCUGUCUCAACAAGAGACUCGGUGAAAUUGUAGUAGCGGUCUAUCGUGACUGGGAAAC